rnacentral:rRNA from 1 species
GCUGUUUUGCGGGGUUGUCUGAACUACGGGCAACGAAUCGGGGUUUCAACAGCGGAUCUCUUGGUUCUGGCAUCGAUGAAGAACGCAGCGAAAUGCGAUAAGUAGUGUGAAUUGCAGAAUUCACUGAAUCAUCGAAUCUUUGAACGCACAUUGCGCCCCUUGGAUCCCGAGGGGCAUGCCUGUUCUAGCGUCAUUUCACCACUCAAGCCUGGGUUGGGGUUGGGCGACGUCCCCUUUAUGGACGCGCCUUGAAACGCUCGGCGGCGUGGCACCGGCUUUAAACGUAUCAGAAUCUUUCUCUUUGAAAGUCUGGGCCCCGUCUGCCGGAAAACCUACUCGCAAGGUUGACCUCGGAUCACGCGCGGAUACCCGCUGAACGGUAAGCAUAUCA